UACGUAGGGGGCAAGCGUUGUCCGGAUUUAUUGGGCGUAAAGAGCGUGUAGGCGGCCAGAUAGGUCCGUUGUGAAAACUCGAGGCUCAACCUCGAGACGCCGAUGGAAACCAUUUGGCUAGAGUCCGGAAGAGGAGAGUGGAAUUCCUGGUGUAGCGGUGAAAUGCGCAGAUAUCAGGAGGAACACCAAUGGCGAAGGCAGCACUCUGGGACGUGACUGACGCUGAGGUGCGAAAGCGUGGGGAGCAAACAGG
rnacentral:rRNA from 1 species